UUUUUUUUUUUUUUUUUGCCAUGUGGUCAGUUACAUAUCAGUAGCACCUUGAAGUACUAUUCCAUUUUUUUUGGAUGUGCACUGCUUACUGCUGAAAAUAGAGGAACUGUAUGAUGUAUUUUAUGUUUUGACUACAAAGCCAUCCCAACUCAUACUUCAAAUUUCCUACAUUUUGAAUUGUUGGGGGGCAGAUAGAAUUGGGCUCGCCCAGGGUAACAUUUAUGCUAGAACUGCCAGUGUUCCUGGACCAUUCUUUGAUUUGAUGUGUGGACAAAUCUGUUCAGGUUUUUCUUUUUUUUUUCUUUUUUUAUAUGUGGAUUACUUGGGUUAUAAUCUGCACUUAGUGUAAGCUUCUAAAAUAACCAUCAAAAUAUAUUUACUGUUAAAAACAUUGUCAUGAUCAAUACUGAUUUCCCACAGUAUAAGAGUCCUUCAAUACAAUCUACCCCGUCUUCUUUGUCUUACACUUACACUACGACUACAUUGUUUUUCCAUUCAGCAGUUAAGAGGAAAUAGUUUGAAUGCCUUUUUUCCAGCUCUCCCACCACAGCUAUUUGGCAGAUACAGGGAACAGACUGCUGUCUGGAAAAUAAGGGAAGAAAAUUGCAGACUGGCUGAUACUCAGGCACAAAAAGGUUUUAAUUCUCUGCCUAAAGACUUUUUGAUUCAUAAGUACAGAUGAUUUGCAGCUAUAAGGAUAAUUUCAGCUAAAUUAUUCUUGUUCACCCACUGGGGAGCGGGUUUAACUUACUACCCAUGUCUUGAUUUUAACAAAAAUGAAAGUUUCCACAUAGAAAUCACACCAAUCUUUUCUUUGACAGGUAUUUUGGAAACAUUACUAGGCAAAAUCUACAUUGCAUUUGCUGGCAGUCGCCUUAAAAAGCGGG